GAUUAUGGCUCAGGAUGAACGCUGGCGGCGUGCUUAACACAUGCAAGUCGAACGAAGCACUGAAGAAUGGAGAUUCGUCAAAGUUCUCUUGACUGAGUGGCGAACGGGUGAGUAAUGCGUGAGCAACCUGCCCUUCAGAGGGGGACAACAGUUGGAAACGACUGCUAAUACCGCAUGACGUGUUUGGAUGGCAUCAUCUGAAUACCAAAGGAGAAAUCCGCUGAAGGAUGGGCUCACGUCUGAUUAGCUAGUUGGCGGGGCAACGGCCCACCAAGGCGACGAUCAGUAGCCGGACUGAGAGGUUGAACGGCCACAUUGGGACUGAGAUACGGCCCAGACUCCUACGGGAGGCAGCAGUGGGGAAUAUUGGGCAAUGGGCCGAAAGCCUGACCCAGCAACGCCGCGUGAAGGAAGAAGGCCUUCGGGUUGUAAACUUCUUUUAACAGGGACGAAGAAGUGACGGUACCUGUUGAAUAAGCCACGGCUAACUACGUGCCAGCCGCCGC
rnacentral:rRNA from 1 species